GCCGGGGUAGCUCAGGUGGUAGAGCAGCGGACUGAAAAUCCGCGUGUCGGCGGUUCGACUCCGCCCCCCGGCACAA
rnacentral:tRNA from 1 species